AAUACGCGUGCUUAGAGACAUUAUUAUUAUACCUGCAGCGGUCUGCAGAUACGCGUUCGACGACGGACGGUGGACGACACGAAGAGCAAUCGAAACCCGAACGCUCCACGCCGCAACACACACGGCCCCUUCGGUAUAUACCACUCACUAUUACCACUCACCAGUCACCACUGCGGCGAGCGGACAAACAAGUGCUCUGCCGAGGCGUAGAUCCUGGCUGGAGUGCGUGCACGUCGGGGGACUUGACCGUUCGGUACAAUAAUAACACGACGUGCUCCGGAAGCGGCAUGCGUGUUCCAUACCCAUUUGUUUUACUAUUGUUCGUUGGUUUUUCCGGAUGAGUCAACAUUAAGGAAAAACUAUUUAUUCGAUGUACCUAUAUGAACAGACCAUAUCGUUGCCAAAAUCCGCGAUUUCAUUUCAAAUCAAAAAAUAUGGAUAAAAGUCGUCUAAUAUAACGUGACCAUUACAACUGGUGCAUAUGAUUCCGGGCCCUAGUAAUAAUAUUAUGACUGCAGAUCUGCAGGCCUGCAGGGGCAGUGUUUGGAUUUUCCACGAAAUAAAGAAAAUUGCAGCACGCUGUUGUAGAAGAGCAGAAGUAAAGAUUGCGUUAGAUUUUGGUACUGUGUUGAUUAUGUGUUUCAAUGGCGAUAAACAAAGCGUUACAAAAAUCGGCCUCGAAAAUUGGUUAGAAAAAAAAUGUUGUAACCAGCCCAAAAACAUAUCUAUUUAAAAAAAACUAUGAAAGACAAAUAUAAAUACAAUUAAUAAUA